CUGGCCACGUCUUCCUCACCGUUAGGCUAGCGGUGCAUGUGGUGGGGGAGGGGAUCUGCUUCAGAUAGAGGGAGAGUCUCUACAAAGAACAUGGCGGCCCAGUCCGCAGAUACGGAGGUUUCGAUUCCCUGAAGACGUUUGGCUCUACCAAGAGGAAGCCGGCAGGCGGCGCAACAGGACCAUCGGGAUAAAGCAGCGGCGUGGUUGCUCCCUCCUGCGGAUGUGCAUCGGUCCGUCGUCCCCCGCCUCCGCAUGACCGCAUCGCCCCCCACCCCCACCUCAGGCUGACGGCCGCUACCUUGGCUGGUCGAGACGAGAGCAAGGACGUCGAUGCGAGCACGACGAUGGGGGCCGCGGGAUAGGAAGUAGGAGCCGGAUCCCGCCCUCUCUCCUCUCUGUUGCCUCCCAGCUGUCCGACCAUCGCCAAUUCGGGCCUGCCGACAUGGGUGUUGCUGAUGUGAGGACUGCCACCGGAACAGAAGGUGAAUGUUGCACGAUUAAAUAUUACUCCCUCCGAGAUUAAUACAUAGCUUUGCAAGCGAUUGUUCUGUCCCAUGUAUUCCUUUGAUGUGCCAUUUAUAAUUUUAUUCGUAUAUAUGAAACAAAUGAUACCAAGUUAUUACCUCAGAUUUUCUAGACAGACUGUCUUAAGGAUAGUCCUCCGUAUGACAUCUACUUCUUUGUUGGGAAAAGUUUAGUUGAGAUGCACACUUUUGUGAGAAAACAACUUUUUUAUAUCUGCAAAGGGAGGAGAUCUAUGUACACAUGUUAUUUUUCUCAUCUUAUGUAUUCUGCAUCAGUAUGAUGUCUCCUUUUCAGAUUCCCUUGCACGUUCGAUGUUAGGCAAGAUGAUGCGUUUAUUUUAGAGUAUACUGGAAGUAUAUGUGCUACUGUAUAUACUAGAGCACAAACAAUCUCUGAACUGCAUCUUCAAAAAAAUAUAGAACCUACAUACCCUGGCACCUGCAUAUGUGAUCUAUUUUUGCGUUCAUAAUUCAGACAUCCUAUUUUUCCUAUUGUCAUCCAUACGAGUUCCAAAUUUACAAUUUCCAUCUAUGUUUGUUUCAUUCAUUCAUGCCAUGGAUAUAUAGUUACACAAUAUUUAAAUAAACAUAUGAAUUUUGCAGGUUUUACUAAAAUAUGCAGUACAUCCAGACAAAUAUUUGAUUAGCCAGCUUCCUCACUAUUUGAGGAGGGUACAUUCAGCCAUCAAGACUAUCUUGGAUGACAGCACCGACAAUUCAGGCAACAACACUUCCUGUUUAGCGCAAUUCCAUCUUAGAAGUUGUGUGACAAGAAAAUUACGGAAAGGGUUUCCUGUGAAGAUUAUGUUCUUCCUGAUAGGAUUUUAUUUUGCCAUGGCGCUUGCUUCUGUCGUCGGACAAACAGGUCACUGGGACCUACGGGUGGCUUUUCAUUCUACUCCAAAAGAUGGCGUUUACAUAUUAAUGAUGUGCAUUGUGCAAUAGAUAUAACCACAUGUAGCUCGAGGUAGUUGAUUAGUUGGCUAUUAGCUACAUAUGGAUAUAUGGAUGUCUCAAUAGCAGAGCUGCAGCUGUUUCUUCAAAAUAUUAUAGACAUUCUGUUUGCAUCCUCUCUGUCAGAUUAAUGGGAUGGACGUGUACUUUUGGGCCA